GAAAACACAGGUGCUUCCCAGCCAGGACCCUGCAAUACCCAGCCUUCCCCUCUGGAGGCCAGCCAGCUUGUCUCAGGUCAGAGCUCAGAGAUGCCUACCUGGAAACAAACAGUGAUGGUAUCUGCAUCUUGUAGCACACAGGAGACAGCCUGUACUCAGAACUCAACAGUAUACAUGGGAAAAGUCAUUGAUUUCCAUUUUGGAGAGCCAGGUAAGACUGCUUCUGUAAACCAGCAAGUUGUGUUUGCUGAGCAGAAAAAAAAAAUCCCCUGAAUCCCCUCAGCUUAUGCAGCUCAACAGCACCCCCAAGACAUGUCUCCCUUCUGGAGAGAAGAUAGCAGUACUUGAUACCAGGGAGACUCUCUACAGUGAAGAAUCCUGGAUGAGGACACUGAGCCCUGACAAGAAUCUCUUUAUCAAAACUACAGUCAUGUGUGAGAGUCAGAGGAUUGCCUUUGAUAUUCAUCAAAUUGCUCUCUCUGGAAUCUAUCCAGACCAGGAACCAAUUGUGGACCACCUCCUUGCUUAUGUAUAUGACCAGACAUUUCAGGGUGAGCUUGAGAUAACUUUAAGAGGUGACCAGAUCUCCUACUACAGUCAUAUGACAACCAGGAAUGGAGGGCAUCUGACUCUCUAUGGGAGUCAUAUGGCAGCACCCAGUUAUAGUCAGGCCCUUCAUCCCAAUCAAAUCAUAACCUCCUUUUCUGAACAGAAUUCUUUCAGAGAUCAGCAGAGUAAACCAGCAGCUGAUAAUGGAUUCUAUGGAGAUCAAGUGAUAUCGCCAAAUGGAUACCAGGCUUUCUGUGAGCUUCAAAUGAGAGCUAACUAUGACCAAACAAAUGACCAAAUGAAUUCCUUCAGUGGUCAGAAUGUCUGCAAAGAUCAGGAGAAUCUCCUCAUUGGUGAUCACUCCCUCUCUGAGUAUCAGACAUCAGGCUACAGAUGUGACCAGGAUUUAAUUGUGAAUUCCCAGGUGACAAGUCCAUUUGGUGGCCAGCCUCUCUCUGAUUUUCAGAUACCAACCUCCAGUUUUGACACAACUCUUCAUGGGUCUAAGAGGACAAGAUCUAGUGCAGAAGACAACCUGGCUUGCCCUUUGGAGACAAGUCCCAGUUCUGAAGAAACAUUCUACUUGGGUCAGAUGAGGACCUCUAUUGAUCAAGAUGUUUACCCAAGUCAGAAUGGAACACUCAAUAUUGAAGAAAGCCUUGAUUCUCAGAUGACUUCACUUAGUUACCAAGUUCCAUAUGUCGGUGAAUCCUCAUAUCCUUCAAGUUCCCCUUUGAUCGAUCCAAAGUCAACCUCAGGAAAACUCUUCAGCUUCCAAUCUAGUCCAGGGACAGCAUCCAGAGAUGAAGUUAGACCUCAAUCCCCAGAGCCCUAUGUGCCAGAAGAACCCUCAUCCUUUGAGUGCUACUCCUGUACCUAUGCGAACUGUCAGAAAUCUUACAAAAGGGCUCAACACCUCGAAGAACACAUGAAGAAACACACUGGUGAGAAGCCUUAUGCAUGCAAUAAGCCUGGGUGCACAUGGAAAAUCUCCUGCUCAAAAGAUCUCAAGAGACACAAACAAAAGCACAGUGUGGUGAGGCCCUACCCAUGUCCCAGGUGCAACAAAAACUUUGCCAGAUUGGAGUACCUUAAGCAGCACGUGAGGUGCCAUAUUGAAGCAUCAUUCCCCACUGCAACC